rnacentral:lncRNA from 1 species
AUUUGAGUUAAACGCAAGUGAUAUCAUAUUCUCGAUAUCACUCGUUCCAAUAAAGUCGCAGUCAUUUCAUAGUAGAACUAUACCUUAUCCUGAAUCAACUCACCUUUCAUUGAUUAUUAAGGUACACCUGUUCCCUUAAGUUGGUAGUACAAAACAUGUAUUUCUUUUCUAAGCAACAGGUCAGACAUGUCCUCCUUUCAUAAAUUCAUUAAUGUAUUUUCUUUAUCUUUUGACGGAAACACUAUGCUUAGAAAUUUCGAAAUGUGUACUACUUUCUUGUAUGUUCUUUAUUACCGGGCAUAAAUAUGAUUCUAUACCUUAAAUAAACUUUAUGUAUGUUUAUGUCUAAAAAGUUAUUCGACGAGAAAAAACACAAUAUGUAAAAUUGUUUCAUUCCACUUUACAAAUACAGUAAACAUCUUUAGUUUGAAAACUCUUGCAUCUUGUUACAAUAAAAAAAAAAUGAAUUCGAGUGUUUCCUAAACGUAACUUUAAGUCACAAAUAAAAUUGUAGAAAA